UAAUCAGAGGAAAGGCUUGACCUCCCUGCCGCUUCUUUGCUCUGCUUCGCUGCCCCUCCGAGCAUUUUUCUCAGGGAUACAGGGAGUAAAUUUAACCCCCAUCUCCGCCCCACAGGGGAGCUCAGAAACAUCAAAUUCCAAAUCAGCUUUUAUCAUUAUUAUUAUUAUUAUUGCCCUUCCGACCGCAAGAGCGUCUUCGUCCUCGCUUCUCAGCAGACAUAGCGACAGCUCCUCAGUUAUCCCACACGAGAUGUUGAGUCACCUGUCCUGGCCCCAGAACGGUCUUAACCCUGUGUCCUCACACGGCCUCUGGAGUGGACAGCCGAACUGUCGCUAAUGGUCAACCUCGAAUCCAUCCUAGAAAAUGCUCUCCGCAAGUCCCUGAUGGAACUGAGAAAGCAAAGUGAAGCAACAAGCCCGUAACUGAUCGCAUAUUUUCCAAAUUAGUACAUCUUCUUAUGGGAUGAUUGACCAAAGGACCCAUGUGGUAUCAUGUGACACUGUUAGUGGCAAGGAGUACAUGGGUGUGGGCAAGCAUGUGGAUGACAGUACAAGGGUUUCCUUCCUACCACCCAGGUCUUGCUUCAGAUCUUCUAAUUCGAGAACCAACCUUUAUGUUCUUAAUUUCAGCACUAGACUCAACUGAAGGGCACAGGGCAAGACGCUCAAGUACGGUGCCUCGUUUAUAAAAAGGUAGAUUUCCCGCAACUUUCGUAAGGGUGGUUCAGAAGGUCAGAUUCUGAUCUAACAUAGAAGAGAAUGGGAUUCUCCUUGACGUUUCUAUGGAUUCCUCAUAAAUAUCAGUCAGGGGCCAACGAGAACCAGACAGAUUUGAAUAACCUAUAGCAAGUCAGGGGCAGAGCCUAGAACCUGAACGUGGAGCCUUUCCCAGUAUCCCUGCCGCUGCACCAGCACGGAACAAUAAAUCAAGCAAAACAACAACUACAUCAGCACUCAGUCCUGUACCAUGGAGACUCCGAAGAUCAGGAAAUCCAGUUGUUACCUUUGAAGGGGAAUGAAAUCCAACUAGCCAGCCUUCCACCAGGCAGGGACUCGCUGCCUUGGUGGGAGCUCCCCAAAUCCGUUCCCUCCAAGACGGCUUCGCAGGAUUAUGUCACCCGAGGACAGCGCAGGGGAGG